CUUAAAAACAUCAUGGAGUGCAGCAUUGAUGAUACUGUACCCGUGUUAUAAUCGGGCAUACUUUCAUCAAUGCUAUACUCAAUAAUGCUUUUA
rnacentral:miRNA from 1 species